rnacentral:rRNA from 1 species
GAUGAACGCUGGCGGCGUGCCUAAUACAUGCAAGUCGAGCGAACAGACGAGGAGCAUGCUCCUCUGACGUUAGCGGCGGACGGGUGAGUAACACGUGGAUAACCUACCUAUAAGACUGGGAUAACUUCGGGAAACCGGAGCUAAUACCGGAUAAUAUAUUGAACCGCAUGGUUCAAUAGUGAAAGACGGUUUUGCUGUCACUUAUAGAUGGAUCCGCGCCGCAUUAGCUAGUUGGUAAGGUAACGGCUUACCAAGGCGACGAUGCGUAGCCGACCUGAGAGGGUGAUCGGCCACACUGGAACUGAGACACGGUCCAGACUCCUACGGGAGGCAGCAGUAGGGAAUCUUCCGCAAUGGGCGAAAGCCUGACGGAGCAACGCCGCGUGAGUGAUGAAGGUCUUCGGAUCGUAAAACUCUGUUAUUAGGGAAGAACAAAUGUGUAAGUAACUAUGCACGUCUUGACGGUACCUAAUCAGAAAGCCACGGCUAACUACGUG